GAGUUUGAUCCUGGCUCAGGAUGAACGCUGGCGGCGUGCUUAACACAUGCAAGUCGAACGAAGCACUUUAUUUGAUUUCCUUCGGGAAUGAUUAUUUUGUGACUGAGUGGCGGACGGGUGAGUAACGCGUGGGUAACCUGCCUUGUACAGGGGGAUAACAGUUGGAAACGGCUGCUAAUACCGCAUAAGCGCACAGCAUCGCAUGAUGCAGUGUGAAAAACUCCGGUGGUAUAAGAUGGACCCGCGUUGGAUUAGCUAGUUGGUGAGGUAACGGCCCACCAAGGCGACGAUCCAUAGCCGACCUGAGAGGGUGACCGGCCACAUUGGGACUGAGACACGGCCCAAACUCCUACGGGAGGCAGCAGUGGGGAAUAUUGCACAAUGGGGGAAACCCUGAUGCAGCAACGCCGCGUGAGUGAAGAAGUAUUUCGGUAUGUAAAGCUCUAUCAGCAGGGAAGAUAAUGACGGUACCUGACUAAGAAGCUCCGGCUAAAUACGUGCCAGCCGCCGCGGUAAUAC
rnacentral:rRNA from 1 species